rnacentral:misc_RNA from 1 species
UGUGGGAGCUGGCUUGCCUGCGAUGGCGGUGGAACAGUUGGCAUCGUAUUGAUCGGCCGACCGCUAUCGCAGGCAAGCCAGCUCCCACA